rnacentral:rRNA from 1 species
AGCGCCAGCGAGUCUUAAUAGGGCGUGAUAGUCGGAGUGAGUAGACGCGAAACCACGUGAUCUACCCUUGGUCAGGAUGAAGGUUGGGUAACACCAACUGGAGGUCCGAAUGGGUAUACGUUGAAAAGUGUUCCAAUGAACUGAGGGUAGGGGUGAAAGGCUAAUCAAACUUGGAGAUAGCUCGUACUCCCCGAAAUGCAUUUAGGUGCAGCCUUUAUUUAGUAUAGCAUGAGGUAGAGCGACUGAUUGGAUGCGAGGGCUUCACCGCCUAUCAAGUCCAGAUAAACUCCGAAUGCGUGCUAUAUAUUGAUAAGGAGUGAGGGCGCGGGUGCUAAGGUCCGCGUCCGAGAGGAGAAGAAUCCAGACCAUCAGCUAAGGUCCCCAAAUAACAGUUAAGUUGAACUAACGAAGUCGGACUGCAGAGACAGCUAGGAUGUUGGCUUGGAAGCAGCCAUUCAUUUAAAGAGUGCGUAACAGCUCACUAGUCGAGGAGUCCGGCGUGGAUAAUACUCGGGCAUAAACUGUUUACCGAAGCUAUGGAUGUGUAAACACAUGGUAGGGGAGCAUUCCAACGGCGUCGAAGGUGAAGGAUGACCUUUGCUGGAGCUUUUGGAAACGCAAAUGUAGGUAUAAGUAACGAUAAAGGAGGUGAGAAACCUCCUCGCCGAAAGACUAAGGUUUCCUGAUCAACGUUAAUCGGAUCAGGGUAAGUCGGGACCUAAGGUUAAGCCGAACGGCGAUACCGAUGGAAGAAUGGUUUAAUAUUCCCAUACUACUUUAUGGAGCGAUGUGGAGACGGAGAAGUGACAGUCCUGCCAUCUGACGGAAUAGGUGGUUGAAGAGUGUAGAUGUAGAUUCCUGUAGGCAAAUCCGCAGGGAGAGUCGACCUUGACAGUAUGCCGCGUGCUUGCACAAGGCAAAAUGGACGUAAUCAGGCUCCCAAGAAAAUCCGCUAAGCAUAUUCAUAAAGUACCCGUACCGUAAACGGACACACGUAGUUGGGUUGAAAAUACUGAGGCGCUCGAGUGAUUCACGGUUAAGGAACUAGGCAAAUUGACCCUGUAACUUCGGGAUAAAGGGUCCCUACUGAGAGGUAGGGCGCAGAGAAUAGGUCCAGGCAACUGUUUAACAAAAACACAUGGCUGUGCGAAAUAGAAACAUGAAGUAUACAGCCUGACACCUGCCCGGUGCUGGAAGGUUAAGAGGAGAGCUCAUCGCAAGAGAAGGCUUGAAUUGAAGCCCCAGUAAACGGCGGCCGUAACUAUAACGGUCCUAAGGUAGCGAAAUUCCUUGUCGGGUAAGUUC